GGAAUUCAUAAUCUCCCUCUGCUGGAAAAAAGAAAAUUUACAGGGGGGGUUUUGAGAAAAUCUGAUGAUGGAGAGGGACUGUUUAGCAACUCCCUCUGCUGGACAAAAGGGGGAAGAGCGGUUAAGUGUCUCUAAUUAGAAUAAUGGUGUUUUUUUGUCAUUUAGGCCUCUAGGAUGAAGGGUGUCUAAUUUAGAAAUCCAAUUUCUUUCAUGUCUCCUUCUCACUGGGGUUGACCAUCUGGGAUUCAUCUGCACGAUCGUUGCAUUGACUGAAUCCCAUCCGUGGGAAAUGAAAUGUUGUACCAGUCUCCCCAACGUACUGUAUCCCACAGGUGGAGCAGGAGAUAACAUAAAUGCAGUUUUGAGAGUGGGGGCUCCCCCUGCAUAGAGACGGAAACACAUUUUUGUUGUGGUGGCUGCAAAUCCAAUCCAAAUGUUUGAAAAAAGAGGCUGGCAGAAAUCUGUGCUCCUCGAGCAGCCCCUGGCUCUGAACAAGAUCCCGGAAGUUCCUCCUGAGGACUCUCACCAUCCUGCACGUGGCUGCCGAAUGUGUUGUGACAAUGGGUAAAAGGGGGGCUGUAUCAAUAGGUUUAAUUUGUUGAAAUGACUUAAAACACUUUCUUAAAAAGGAGCGGGAAUAACCCCUUGUGU